rnacentral:rRNA from 1 species
AGUGAACGCUGGCGGUAGGCCUAACACAUGCAAGUCGAACGGCAGCACAGUAAGAGCUUGCUCUUACGGGUGGCGAGUGGCGGACGGGUGAGGAAUACAUCGGAAUCUACUCUUUCGUGGGGGAUAACGCAGGGAAACUUACGCUAAUACCGCAUACGACCUACGGGUGAAAGCAGGGGAUCUUCGGACCUUGCGCGAUUGAAUGAGCCGAUGUCGGAUUAGCUAGUUGGCGGGGUAAAGGCCCACCAAGGCGACGAUCCGUAGCUGGUCUGAGAGGAUGAUCAGCCACACUGGAACUGAGACACGGUCCAGACUCCUACGGGAGGCAGCAGUGGGGAAUAUUGGACAAUGGGCGCGAGCCUGAUCCAGCCAUACCGCGUGGGUGAAGAAGGCCUUCGGGUUGUAGAGCCCUUUUGUUGGGAAAGAAAAGCAGCAGGUUAAUACCCCGCUGUUCUGACGGUACCCAAAGAAUAAGCACCGGCUAACUUCGUG